rnacentral:ncRNA from 1 species
AUGUGGGGAGCUGGGAAAACCCGGCUGAGAGGACGGCCAAUUGCCGUCGACCCAUUGAACCUGAACGGAUAAUGCCGACGAAGGGAGAGUGAUUUA